AGCAGCCGCGGUAAAUUCCAGCUCCAAUAGCGUAUAUUAAAGUUGUUGCAGUUAAAAAGCUCGUAGUUGAAUUUCGGGGUCAGCAGGCUGGUCGUGCCACUGGUAUGAACUGGUCUCGCUGAUUCCUCCUUUCUGAAGAACUGUAAUGUCAUUAAUUUGGUGUUGCAGGGAAACAGGACUGUUACUUUGAAAAAUUAGAGUGUUUAAAGCAGGCAAUUUGCUUGAAUACAUUAGCAUGGAAUAAUGAAAUAGGACGUUCAAACCUAUUUUGUUGGUUUCUAGGAUUGACGUAAUGAUUAAUAGGGAUAGUUGGGGGCAUUAGUAUUCAAUUGUCAGAGGUGAAAUUCUUGGAUUUAUUGAAGACUAACUACUGCGAAAGCAUUUGCCAAGGAUGUUUUCA
rnacentral:rRNA from 1 species